rnacentral:rRNA from 1 species
GACGAACGCUGGCGGCGUGCUUAACACAUGCCAGUCGAACGGAAAGGCCCUGCUUUUGUGGGGUGCUCGAGUGGCGAACGGGUGAGUAACACGUGAGUAACCUGCCCUUGACUUUGGGAUAACUUCAGGAAACUGGGGCUAAUACCGGAUAGGAGCUCCUGCUGCAUGGUGGGGGUUGGAAAGUUUCGGCGGUUGGGGAUGGUCUCGCGGCUUAACAGCUUGUUGGUGGGGUAGUGGCUUACCAAGGCUUUGAAGGGUAGCCGGCCUGGGAGGGUGACCGGCCACCAUGCGCCUACGGGAGGCCCCAGAAGCCUACGGGAGGCAAUGGUGGGGAACAUUGCCGAAUGGGCGGGAGCCUGAUGCAACAACCCCGCGUGCGGGAUGCCCGCCUUCGGGUUAAAAACCGCUUUCGCCUUUAACGAAGACAGAGUGACGGUAAUUGGUAAAGAAGCACCGGCUAACUACGUG